rnacentral:rRNA from 1 species
ACGAACGCUGGCGGCGUGCUUAACACAUGCAAGUCGAACGGUGAAGCGCCUUCCUUUUUGGUGGGUGUGGAUGAGUGGCGAACGGGUGAGUAACACGUGAGUAACCUGCCCCCUUCUUCUGGAUAACCGCAUGAAAGUGUGGCUAAUACGGGAUAUUCUGGGUCUGUCGCAUGAUGGGUCUGGGAAAGAUAUUGUUUCGGUGGGGGAUGGGCUCGCGGCCUAUCAGCUUGUUGGUGGGGUGAUGGCCUACCAAGGCGGUGACGGGUAGCCGGCCUGAGAGGGUGGACGGUCACACUGGGACUGAGACACGGCCCAGACUCCUACGGGAGGCAGCAGUGGGGAAUAUUGUACAAUGGGCGCAAGCCUGAUGCAGCGACGCCGCGUGAGGGAUGGAGGCCUUCGGGUUGUGAACCUCUUUCGCCAGUGAAGCAGGCCUGCCUCGUUUGUGGGUGGGUUGACGGUAGCUGGAUAAGAAGCGCCGGCUAACUACGUG